GCGAGUGUAGCUCAGUCUGGUAGAGCGUCACCUUGCCAAGGUGAAUGUCGAGGGUUCGAAUCCCUUCACUCGCUCCA
rnacentral:tRNA from 1 species